ensembl:lncRNA
ACCUCAGUGCGGCUGGUUUACAGGACCUCCCUAAAUAUCAAGCAAGUGUUUAUCAUAAACCAAGCACCAGCCAAUGGUAGACAUCCCUGCAAUAUAAGCAAGCCCCUUCUCCUGAUGGGAAUCACCAGAGAUAGUCUAGAAUCUGAAGAUACUGAGGACCUCAAGAGCCACUGGGUGGAGGCUGUGGGGCCAGAGGAGCUCCCAAACUAUAGAGGAAAAACAGCCAAGGAGCGUCAGACAUGCAGCUACAUUCACUAUUGUCCACUACUCUCUAUAUCCUGGAAUGCAGAUAUUGGCUCGCCCUCUCACUUCCUGUCUCACCCACCUUCUGAAACCUGAACACUCCAAACAAGCCAAACCCCUGGUGAAAGUGAAGUCGCUUGGUUGUGUCCGACUCUUUGCGACCCCAUGGAACCCACCAGGCUCCUCCAUCCGUAGGAUGUUCCAGGCAAGAAUACUGGAGUGAGUUGCCAUUUCCUUCUCCAGGGGAUCCUCCCAACCCAGGGAUCAAACCCAGGUUUCCCAGAUUGCAGGCAGACUUACAAGCUGAGCCACCAGGGAAUCCCCAGACCCCUGGUGGGGAAAUUGAAAAAAAUGAGAUCUUCCAGCCCCCAAAUCCUCUCCACAAAAAUAGUCAUGA